ACCAACAUAGGUCAAAAGACUCAAAACCCCUAAACCUAGACUAGAUUUAGAUUUGUACAUUAUAGCCAUCAAAAUUGUCAAUGUGCUCACAGGGAAAUUCGUAAACGGUCCUGGAGCUGAUCUUGUAGUCCCAACCAUUAGAGAGAAGACAUGUAACUAAAAAUGUAUGAUGUCAAUUUACAUGCCAUGUCAUUUCAACAAAUCCACAAAUUUUAACCUCGUUAACCUUUCACAAGGUAAAAGCUUCAAAUUUCAUUAUUUUUGGGAAUUCUCUCUCUCUUUCGCUUUUCCUGUUUCUCUCUCCCUCCGAGAUAUGGAGCUCCCUGUUCGUCAUCAUCAGUCAUCACUACGGCUAUCUCAUUAGUUUUUAUUUUUUGAAGAUUUCACAAGACAACACUUCGGCUUUGUUUCUAUUUCAUUUGUCCCUGCCCAUACGGCUAUCUCACUGCCAUUGUCAUCAUAUGAAUUUUGGUUUUUGACUUUGAAUGUGAGCCACCCAGAUUGCUCAAAGAAAAUUCAUGAUUUAUGAAUUCCUAAACCAAGCAAAGCAAUGCAAGCAGCCUAGAAGUCAUUCUUGAUAAAAUAUGCUAUAGGCAGAAAAAUAGAGAAUCUGUGAAGAUUGAACAACCAAGGAUAGAGACAAUGGGUAGAACCGUAGAAGAUGCAAAAUUUUGCCAAUGUUUUAUCCUGAAUUGUAUUUCCAAUCAAUGAAAAGUAGUGUUGUAUAAUUGUAUCCAAUGCACAUUCUUAUCCUUAUAGAAAUUUUGGUGUUGGUUGUGUUUCUA